rnacentral:sRNA from 1 species
GGAGAAGGCCAAUGUCCACUUCUUCCCUUCCUGCUCCAUGUGCUCACUCCAGAACCUGCACUCCCGGGUGGAAGAAGACAACCUUUCCUGGUAGAGGAGGAACGUUCUUUGGUCAAGGGUAUAUGGGCACUCCUGUGCUAGAACCUCCAAGCAAGUGCUCAAAAUAAAUGGAGAUAUAUACAGUUUUCAUAGAUUGGAAGACCUGAAACUCUUAAGAUGCUGUAUCUCAAGUAAGUCUUUAUAU